rnacentral:rRNA from 1 species
UACGGAGGGUGCAAGCGUUAAUCGGAUUCAUUGGGCGUAAAGAGCACGUAGGCGGAUUGGAAAGUUAGAUGUGAAAGCCCGGGGCUCAACUACGGAUCCGCAUCUAAUACUCCCAGUCUAGAGGAUGGAAGGAGAAAAGGGAAUUCCACGUGUAGCGGUGAAAUGCGUAGAUAUGUGGAAGAACACCGGUGGCGAAGGCGCUUUUCUAUUUUAUUCCUGACGAUGAGGUGCGAAAGCAAGGGGAGCAAACAGG